rnacentral:tRNA from 1 species
GGUCUGGUGGUGUAGUUGGUUAUCACGUCAGUCUAACAGUCCGAGAUCUCUCACCGAAUCUCCCCCUGUUCCACUGAAGGUCUCCGGUUCAAGUCCGGGCUAGAUCA